rnacentral:rRNA from 1 species
AUGAAUGAAGCGUUACUGGCACCGUAUACCGAAGAAGAAGUUAAGCGUGCCCUGUUCAGCAUAGGUGACUUGAAAGCGCCGGGGCCUGAUGGCCUACACGCAUUUUUUUAUAAAAAAAAUUGGCACUUGUUGGGAGAUGCUCUAGUGAAAGAAGUACUUGAAGCGGUGAAUACUGGAAUUAUUCCUGAGGGCUGGAAUACCACUACUAUUGUCCUAAUUCCGAAGGUUGACGCUCCAGAGAAGGUGUCUCAGUUAAGACCUAUAAGUCUAUGCAACGUUGUUUAUAAGGUGAUAUCAAAGAUGCUCGCAGCAAGACUAAAGGUUUUCCUCCCUGACAUUAUUAGUGAGACACGAAGUGCCUUCAUACUUGGUUGGAUCAUAACAGGCAAUGUGAUCGUUGCAUAUGAAUGUCUCCAUACUAUGAAGAAGAAGAAGAAGCAGAAGAAGAAGAAAAAGGAGGAAAAACUUGAUAUGCACAAGGCCUAUGACAGGGUCGAAUUGGUUUUUCUGAAGGCGAUACUUGGCAAAUUGGGCUUUGAUGAGAGAUGGAUUGAUCUUAUUAUGGCAUGUGUGACUUCAGUGGAGUAAAAAGUGUGUUUCAACUCAAAUGAGACUGCACCAUUUUAUCCCACAAGAGGUUUGAGACAAGGGAACCCCCUGUCCCCCUACCUUUUUCUAUUAUGUGCAGAGGGGCUCUCAAACUUAAUUGCUUUUGAGGAAGCAGCGGGUAACCUCAAGGGUGUCCAGGUGUGUCAUGACUCUCCUAUCAUAUACCACUUACUCUUUGCUGACAAUUCGUUGAUCCUUAUGAGAGCAGAUGCAGAUAAUGUGAACACAUUAAAAAUGAUAUUGGAUGAGUACUGUUCGGCCUUUGUACAUAUGGUGAGUGCAGCAAAAUCAACGAUAUAUUUCAGCUCCAGUACAGAUGUUGAACGUAAAGUGGAGGUGUGCCAAUUGGACAUUAUGACUGAAUCUCUGUCCGAUAAGUACUUGGGUCUCCACUCCAUGAUUGGGGUAGACCGUGUUGAUUGUUUCAAAUAUAUUAUAGAAAGGAUCCAGAAGAUGAUAAAUGGGUGGAAGGAAAGAAGGCUAUCUUAUGGUGGUAAGGAAGCACUGAUCAAAGCGGUGGCCCAGGCCAUCCCUACGUAUGCACUGACGCCAUUUUGCAUUAUUGGUGGGGUGACGGUGAAAACCAGCAGAAUGCAUUGGUUUGCCUGGUAG